rnacentral:rRNA from 1 species
GGGUUGUGAGGUUAAGCGACUAAGCGUACACGGUGGAUGCCCUGGCAGUCAGAGGCGAUGAAGGACGUGCUAAUCUGCGAUAAGCGUCGGUAAGGUGAUAUGAACCGUUAUAACCGGCGAUUUCCGAAUGGGGAAACCCAGUGUGAUUCGUCACACUAUCAUUAACUGAAUCCAUAGGUUAAUGAGGCGAACCGGGGAACUGAAACAUCUAAGUACCCCGAGGAAAAGAAAUCAACCGAGAUUCCCCCAGUAGCGGCGAGCGAACGGGGAGCAGCCCAGAGCCUGAAUCAGUGUGUGUGUUAGUGGAAGCGUCUGGAAAGGCGCGCGAUACAGGGUGACAGCCCCGUACACAAAAAUGCACAUACUGUGAGCUCGAUGAGUAGGGCGGGACACGUGGUAUCCUGUCUGAAUAUGGGGGGACCAUCCUCCAAGGCUAAAUACUCCUGACUGACCGAUAGUGAACCAGUACCGUGAGGGAAAGGCGAAAAGAACCCCGGCGAGGGGAGUGAAAAAGAACCUGAAACCGUGUACGUACAAGCAGUGGGAGCACGCUUCGGCGUGUGACUGCGUACCUUUUGUAUAAUGGGUCAGCGACUUAUAUUCUGUAGCAAGGUUAACCGAAUAGGGGAGCCGAAGGGAAACCGAGUCUUAACUGGGCGUUAAGUUGCAGGGUAUAGACCCGAAACCCGGUGAUCUAGCCAUGGGCAGGUUGAAGGUUGGGUAACACUAACUGGAGGACCGAACCGACUAAUGUUGAAAAAUUAGCGGAUGACUUGUGGCUGGGGGUGAAAGGCCAAUCAAACCGGGAGAUAGCUGGUUCUCCCCGAAAGCUAUUUAGGUAGCGCCUCGUGAAUUCAUCUCCGGGGGUAGAGCACUGUUUCGGCAAGGGGGUCAUCCCGACUUACCAACCCGAUGCAAACUGCGAAUACCGGAGAAUGUUAUCACGGGAGACACACGGCGGGUGCUAACGUCCGUCGUGAAGAGGGAAACAACCCAGACCGCCAGCUAAGGUCCCAAAGUCAUGGUUAAGUGGGAAACGAUGUGGGAAGGCCCAGACAGCCAGGAUGUUGGCUUAGAAGCAGCCAUCAUUUAAAGAAAGCGUAAUAGCUCACUGGUCGAGUCGGCCUGCGCGGAAGAUGUAACGGGGCUAAACCAUGCACCGAAGCUGCGGCAGCGACACUAUGUGUUGUUGGGUAGGGGAGCGUUCUGUAAGCCUGUGAAGGUGUGCUGUGAGGCAUGCUGGAGGUAUCAGAAGUGCGAAUGCUGACAUAAGUAACGAUAAAGCGGGUGAAAAGCCCGCUCGCCGGAAGACCAAGGGUUCCUGUCCAACGUUAAUCGGGGCAGGGUGAGUCGACCCCUAAGGCGAGGCCGAAAGGCGUAGUCGAUGGGAAACAGGUUAAUAUUCCUGUACUUGGUGUUACUGCGAAGGGGGGACGGAGAAGGCUAUGUUGGCCGGGCGACGGUUGUCCCGGUUUAAGCGUGUAGGCUGGUUUUCCAGGCAAAUCCGGAAAACUAAGGCUGAGGCGUGAUGACGAGGCACUACGGUGCUGAAGCAACAAAUGCCCUGCUUCCAGGAAAAGCCUCUAAGCAUCAGGUAACAUCAAAUCGUACCCCAAACCGACACAGGUGGUCAGGUAGAGAAUACCAAGGCGCUUGAGAGAACUCGGGUGAAGGAACUAGGCAAAAUGGUGCCGUAACUUCGGGAGAAGGCACGCUGAUAUGUAGGUGAAGCGACUUGCUCGUGGAGCUGAAAUCAGUCGAAGAUACCAGCUGGCUGCAACUGUUUAUUAAAAACACAGCACUGUGCAAACACGAAAGUGGACGUAUACGGUGUGACGCCUGCCCGGUGCCGGAAGGUUAAUUGAUGGGGUUAGCGGUAACGCGAAGCUCUUGAUCGAAGCCCCGGUAAACGGCGGCCGUAACUAUAACGGUCCUAAGGUAGCGAAAUUCCUUGUCGGGUAAGUUCCGACCUGCACGAAUGGCGUAAUGAUGGCCAGGCUGUCUCCACCCGAGACUCAGUGAAAUUGAACUCGCUGUGAAGAUGCAGUGUACCCGCGGCAAGACGGAAAGACCCCGUGAACCUUUACUAUAGCUUGACACUGAACAUUGAGCCUUGAUGUGUAGGAUAGGUGGGAGGCUUUGAAGUGUGGACGCCAGUCUGCAUGGAGCCGACCUUGAAAUACCACCCUUUAAUGUUUGAUGUUCUAACGUUGACCCGUGAUCCGGGUUGCGGACAGUGUCUGGUGGGUAGUUUGACUGGGGCGGUCUCCUCCUAAAGAGUAACGGAGGAGCACGAAGGUUGGCUAAUCCUGGUCGGACAUCAGGAGGUUAGUGCAAUGGCAUAAGCCAGCUUGACUGCGAGCGUGACGGCGCGAGCAGGUGCGAAAGCAGGUCAUAGUGAUCCGGUGGUUCUGAAUGGAAGGGCCAUCGCUCAACGGAUAAAAGGUACUCCGGGGAUAACAGGCUGAUACCGCCCAAGAGUUCAUAUCGACGGCGGUGUUUGGCACCUCGAUGUCGGCUCAUCACAUCCUGGGGCUGAAGUAGGUCCCAAGGGUAUGGCUGUUCGCCAUUUAAAGUGGUACGCGAGCUGGGUUUAGAACGUCGUGAGACAGUUCGGUCCCUAUCUGCCGUGGGCGCUGGAGAACUGAGGGGGGCUGCUCCUAGUACGAGAGGACCGGAGUGGACGCAUCACUGGUGUUCGGGUUGUCAUGCCAAUGGCACUGCCCGGUAGCUAAAUGCGGAAGAGAUAAGUGCUGAAAGCAUCUAAGCACGAAACUUGCCCCGAGAUGAGUUCUCCCUGACUCCCUGAGAGUCCUGAAGGAACGUUGAAGACGACGACGUUGAUAGGCCGGGUGUGUAAGCGCAGCGAUGCGUUGAGCUAACCGGUACUAAUGAACCGUGAGGCUUAACCUUACAACGCCGAAGGUGUUU